rnacentral:lncRNA from 1 species
AAAAGCACUGGAUUAAAUAAACCGCUCUACAAUUCUGUAUGAAGGUCUGAAAACACUAAGCUAAUCUGUCGUAUUAGAAAUCAGAACAGUGGCUUCUUUGCAUAGUACAGACUGAGAAGGGCACAGGGAACUUUCUGGAGUGAUGGAAAUGUUCUAUAUCUUGACUGAGGUGAUGGUUACAUGAGUACAUACAUUUGUCAAAACUCAGAAUUGUACUUUAAAAUUUGUACAUUUUACUGUAUGUAAAUUAAGCCUCAAAUUUAAAGUACCUUUAUUUAUUUAUUUGUUUGUUUGUUUAUUUAUUGCAGAAUCUUGCUGUGUUGCCCAGGCAGGAAUGCAGUGGUGCAAUCACGGCUCACUGCAGCCUCUACCUCCUAGGCUCAAGCAAUCCUCAGCCUCCUGAGAGUAGCUGGGACUACAGCUCCUCUCUCGAUCGGAAGAUUUUUACAGCCACCCUACUGAUCUUUAGGGAUUUGUAAACUAUUACCCAGGAAGAAGGCCCAUGGAGCUAAGGCCUCAGAACACCAAAGUCUGGACUGUCUGAGGGCACAUGCUAAUAACAGGAGGCUGGCAAAGUGGCCAGCUCCCAUGCCUUUGCAUGCAUUUGUCUUUACCUCCUGCUGCCUGGGAACAUCCUUCCAGGAGCAAUCGAGUCAACAGCACCACAGACACUGCUAUUCCGUUGAGAAAAGUUUUAUAUGGAAACACAUACUGAUCAUGAACACAAUAAACAGGGAGGGAAGCUCGGGCUCAGCCAGGAAACCUGCCACAAGGAAGAUGUUUGGAACUAUCCAGGAGUAGUGUCAAACACUAACACCAUAUUUACAAGUCUAAUUUGGAACCUGGCCCUUUUUAAGUGCAGGAGGAAGUUGGAGGAGAAGCCAUGCAUGAAGUAAAAAAUACAUAUACACAGACAUAAACACCCACAUUUUCACACUUCUUUUGCCCAUUUGUUCCACAAGGAACAAAUGAGAGAAAGAAGCCCAGCCUCUCUCCCUGGAGUCCGUAUACUUACUACAGAUUUGUUAGAGAAGCCCCAGAUGGGGCUUGGAUUCAAGGAGCAGACUUCACUCUUACUGGCCCCACUCACGUGACAAUUCACCAAGGGAAUGCUUGGGACACAAGCAUGAAUGUCCGGAAGAGGCAAGAAAAUAUAUGGCUCACUUAACUUACACAUUACACAUAAGAGGCCUCAGUUUCUCCAAGUACUUUCACAUUUGAUCUUUAGCAGACUUCUAACCUGCAGAGACAGAGCUCAGCCAAGCUGUGAGACACAGAGGAAAGCAGCAUUUUGAUCCAGUGUGCACUGGGUCAGUCACUUCAUCCGAGACAGUCACACAUGCCAGCCCCAGGUAAGUCCCUGGGGGCUUGCAGCUGUUUUCUUUGUGGAGUGGAAAUUUGGGUUUUUUCCUUCAGUGGAUUUCUCCCUGCUGCUGUCACUGAGCUCCACGCUGCUCGCUCUGGACCCGAGACAGCUGCUCGGCGUGUGUGUGUGUGUGUGUGUGUGUGUGUGUGUGUGUGUGUGUGUGUGUGUGUGUGUGUGUGUAAUUUACUGUUCUGCUGCUGCUGGCUUGUCCCCGGCUGCUGGCUCGUCCUCGGCCACUGGCUUCUCAACCUGUGACUCUGGAGGAAUCAGAUACUGGACCUCCUCUGUGCUGACGGCUACUUUAUCUGGCUGGAGCCACCUCUUGAAAUGUUCCAAGGUGCUAUGAAAGGGCAGAAUAAAAGGGUGGCUGUGUCAGACCUCACUGAUUAAUUACUUAAUGAUUAUCUCAGUUACUCAAACACUACCUUCCCGCCCACCAGCAAUUUCUUCCUACAAUUGUUUUUCACUGCUAAACUGGGAAGUACAAGGAUACUCCUAAUGGCAGCUGUGCAUCCUGGCAGCUCUGCG